UGGUUAAGCUACUAAGAGCGCACGGAGGAUGCCUAGGCACUAGGAGCCGAAGAAGGACGUGGCGAACAACGAAAUUGCCUCGGGGAGCCGUAAGCAGGCUUUGAUCCGGGGAUGUCCGAAUGGGGAAACCCGGCUGCGGUAAUGCGCAGUCACUUCUUACUGAAUACAUAGGUAAGUAGAGGCAUACCAGGGGAACUGAAACAUCUAAGUACCCUGAGGAAGAGAAAACAAUAGUGAUUCCGUCAGUAGCGGCGAGCGAACGCGGAUUAGCCCAAACCUACGGACUUGUCCGUAGGGGUUGUAG
rnacentral:rRNA from 1 species